AGCAGUAGCCGCGGUAAUACGGAGGGAGCUAGCGUUGUUCGGAAUUACUGGGCGUAAAGCGCACGUAGGCGGUUAUUCAAGUCAGAGGUGAAAGCCCGGGGCUCAACCCCGGAACUGCCUUCGAAACUAGAUGACUGGAAUCUUGGAGAGGUCAGUGGAAUUCCGAGUGUAGAGGUGAAAUUCGUAGAUAUUCGGAAGAACACCAGUGGCGAAGGCGACUGACUGGACAAGUAUUGACGCUGAGGUGCGAAAGCGUGGGGAGCAAACAGGAUUAGAUACCCCAGUAGUCCCUGUCUCUUAUAC
rnacentral:rRNA from 1 species